rnacentral:rRNA from 2 species
GGGUUGUGAGGUUAAGCGACUAAGCGUACACGGUGGAUGCCCUGGCAGUCAGAGGCGAUGAAGGACGUGCUAAUCUGCGAAAAGCGUCGGUAAGGUGAUAUGAACCGUUAUAGCCGGCGAUGUCCGAAUGGGGAAACCCAGUGCAAUUCGUUGCACUAUCGUUAACUGAAUACAUAGGUUAACGAGGCGAACCGGGGGAACUGAAACAUCUA